rnacentral:rRNA from 1 species
AUUGAACGCUGGCGGCAGGCCUAACACAUGCAAGUCGAGCGGCGCGGCGGACGGGUGCGUGAUGGCUAGGAAUCUGCCUGGUCGUGGGGGAUAGGGUCCGGAACCGGGCGCUAAUACCGCAACCUCUUAGAUUAGCCUAGGUCGGAUUGGCUAGUUGGUGGGGUAAAGGCCUACCAAGGCGACGAUCCGUAACUGGUCUGAGAGGAUGAUCAGUCACACUGGAACUGAGACACGGUCCAGACUCCUACGGGAGGCAGCAGGGGGGAAUAUUGGACAAUGGGCGAAAGCCUGAUCCAGCCAUGCCGCGUGUAGGAAGAAGGUCUUCGGAUUGUAAAGCACUUUAAGUUGGGAGGCGUUACCAACAGAAUAAGCACCGGCUAACUUCGUGCCAGCAGCCGCGGUAAUUC